UUAAAUGGCCGCAGUAAUUUGACUGUGCAAAGGUAGCAUAAUCAUUAGUUUUUUAAUUAAAAGCUUGUAUGAAAGGUUGGACGAAGUAAAUACUGUCUCUAUUUAAUUUACUUUAGAAUUUAAUUUUUAAGUUAAAAAGCUUAAAUUUUUAUAAAAGACGAGAAGACCCUAUAGAGCUUUAUAAAUUUAAUAUUAAAAUAAAUUUGGAUAUAUUUAUAUUUUAAUAUUAAAUUUAUUUUAUUGGGGUAAUAUAAAGAUUAAUAUAAUUCUUUUUUAAUAUAUAUAUUGAUAUAUAGAUUAUUGAUCCAUUAUUAUUGAUUAUAAGAUUAAGUUACCUUAGGGAUAACAGCGUAAUUUUUUUUGAGAGUUCUUAUCGAUAAAAAAGUUUGCGACCUCGAUGUUGGAUUAAAGAUUAGUUUAGGUGUAGAAGUUUAAAUUUUUGGUCUGUUCGACCAUUAAAUCUUUACAUGAUCUGAGUUCAGACCGGUUUAAGCCAGGUCGGUUUCUAUCUUUAUUAAAUUAGAAUAUUUUAGUACGAAAGGACCAAAUAUUUAAUAUAUUAAUAUUUAAAAUUUUGAAUAUUAUUAAUUAUUUUGGCAGAUUAGUGCAAUGAAUUUAGAAUUCAUUUAUGUAAAUUUUUACAAAUAAUACUUGUAUUUUUUGGAUUUAUUGUUAUCUUUUAUUUUUAUAUUGUUAUUAAUUAUUUGUGUAUUGGUGGGGGUGGCUUUUU
rnacentral:rRNA from 1 species